rnacentral:rRNA from 1 species
CUUGGUGACCAUAGCGUCAGUGACCCACCCGAUCCCAUCUCGAACUCGGCCGUGAAACCUGACAGCGCCAAUGGUACUAACGCUCAAGCGUUGGAAGAGUAGGACGUCGCCAGGCAUUGAAGCCGGCGUGCUGUAAAAAA